CAGGCUUUUCCUCUCUGGGAGACUUUUUAUUACGGUUUUAAUCUCAUUACUUGUUAUUGGGCUAUUCAAGUUUUGGACUUCUUCAUAGCUUAGGCUU